GGACGUUUUUAGAAACAACCCGACUCUAAGGACGCUCUGAGGCACGACGCCAGGUGCCGGUAAAGGCCUGACACCCGCUCUGGGAGAGGCCCCGAUCAGGAGGACCUAGGCACCCGGACAUCGCGCCCAUAGACUUCCCAAACACCGCAGUUCCCUGCAGCGCAAGGCUGCGGGAUUCGGUGCUGAACUCUUCCCGCUUCAUUCGCCAUUAGUAGGUGAAUCCCAG
rnacentral:lncRNA from 1 species